CCGCCGCCUGGAGGGAUUCUGUAUCCCGUCGCUUCCUCCGGCCGCGGCUUCAUUCCUCCUCCAGUGGUGCCGCCGCCGCCCACCCGCCCUUCCUCCUCCGAUCACUCCCGAAGCUACAAUUCCUCCGCCUCCCCUUCACUUGCUCUCUCCAAUUACAGAGCUGCCUCUCCUUCUCCUCUCUCUCACCCUUACUAUCCUCCUCCUGCGCAUAGGC
rnacentral:lncRNA from 1 species